rnacentral:lncRNA from 1 species
AAUUCAGUUUAGGGUUUAAAACCCUAAGCUGACUGGAAGGAAAAUUCAGUUUAGGGUUUAAAACCCUAAUGCUGAUUACAUGGAAAAGCUCUGUUUAGGGUUUAAAACCCUAAUGCUGGCUGAAAGGAAAAGUUCAGUUUAGGGUUUAAAACCCUAAUGCUGACUAAAAGGAAAAUUCAGUUUAGGGUUCAAAAACCCUAAUGUUGAUUGCAUGGAAAAGCUCAGUUUAGGGUUUAAAACCCUAAUGCUGGCUGAAUGGAAAAAGUUCAGUUUAGGGUUUAAAACCCUAAUGCUGAUUGCAUGGAAAAGCUCAGUUUAGAGUUUAAAACCCUAAUGCUGACUGAAAGAAAAAGUUCAGUUUAGGGUUUAAAACCCUAAUGCUGACUGAAAGGAAAAAGUUCAGUUUAGGGUUUAAAACCCUAAUGCUGACUAAAAGGAAAAGUUCAGUUUAGGGUUUAAAAGCCUAAUGCUGAUUGCAUGGAAAAGCUUAGUUUAGGGUUUAAAACCCUAAUGCUGGCUGAAAGGAAAAAGUUCAGUUUAGGGUUUAAAACCCUAAUGCUGACUAAAAGGAAAAGUUCAGUUUAGGGUUUAAAACCCUAAUGCUGAUUGCAUGGAAAAGCUCAGUUUAGGGUUUAAAACCCUAAUGCUGAUUGCAUGAAAAAGCUCAGUUUAGGGUUUAAAACCUUAAUGCUGGCUGAAAGGAAAAAGUUCAGUUUAGGGUUUAAAACCCUAAUGCUGAUUGCAUGGAAAAGCUCAGUUUAGGGUUUAAAACCCUAAUGCUGGCUGAAUGGAAAAGGUUCAGUUUAGGGUUUAAAACCCUAAUGCUGACUAAAAGGAAAAUUCAGUUUAGGGUUUAAAACCCUAAUGCUGGCUGAAAGGAAAAAGUUCAGUUUAGGGUUUAAAACCCUAAUGCUGACUAAAAGGAAAAGUUCAGUUUAGGGUUUAAAACCCUAAUGCUGACUAAAAGGAAAAGUUCAGUUUAGGGUUUAAAACCCUAAUGCUGAUUGCAUGGAAAAGCUCAGUUUAGGGUUUAAAACCCUAAUGCUGGCUGAAAGGAAAAAGUUCAGUUUAGGUUUAAAACCCUAAUGCUGACUAAAAGGAAAAGUUCAGUUUAGGGUUUAAAACUCUAAUGCUGAUUGCAUGGAAAAGCUCAGUUUAGGGUUUAAAACCCUAAUGCUGGCUGAAAGGAAAAAGUUCAGUUUAGGGUUUAAAACCCUAAUGCUGACUAAAAGGAAAAUUCAGUUUAGGGUUUAAAACCCUAAUGCUGACUAAAAGGAAAAUUCAGUUUAGGGUUUAAAACCCUAAUGCUGAUUGCAUUGAAAAGCUAAGUUUAGGGUUUAAAACCCUAAUGCUGGCUGAAAGGAAAAAGUUCAGUUUAGGGUUUAAAACCCUAAUGCUGAUUGCAUGGAAAAGCUCAGUUUAGGGUUUAAAAUCCUAAUGCUGGCUGAAUGGAAAAAGUUCAGUUUAGGGUUUAAAACCCUAAUGCUGACUAAAAGGAAAAGUUCAGUUUAGGGUUUAAAACCCUAAUGCUGACUGAAAGAAAAAGUUUAGUUUAGGGUUUAAAACCCUAAUGCUGACUGAAAGAAAAAGUUCAGUUUAGGGUUUAAAACCCUAAUGCUGACUGAAAGAAAAAGUUCAGUUUAGGGUUUAAAACCCUAAUGCUGACUAAAAGGAAAAUUCAGUUUAGGGUUUAAAACCCUAAUGCUGAUUGCAUGGAAAAGCUCAGUUUAGGGUUUAAAACCCUAAUGCUGACCAAAAGGAAAAUUCAGUUUAGGGUUUAAAACACUAAUGUUGAUUGCAUGGAAAAGCUCAGUUUAGGGUUUAAAACUCUAAUGCUGGCUGAAAGGAAAAA